rnacentral:lncRNA from 1 species
UGCCACAGCGAAAUGUUUUUUGACAUUCUCUUUCUGACUUAAAUAAUGAGCUGCAUUUUCACUCAUCUUUUGCUCUGAGACCAGGCUAAUAUCUCCUAAAAGUAUUCUAAAUUUAUACUCAGUGGCUUUCUAAGGUCAUUUAAAUUCCUAAUGAAAAGUCACUCAAAGCCACAGUACAAAAUAAAUACAUUGUUAUUGAUCAUGCAAUAAGGUAUUAGGCUAAUUUAAUAA